UACGGAGGGAGCUAGCGUUGUUCGGAAUUACUGGGCGUAAAGCGCACGUAGGCGGCUUUGUAAGUUAGAGGUGAAAGCCCGGAGCUCAACUCCGGAACUGCCUUUAAGACUGCAUCGCUUGAAUCCAGGAGAGGUGAGUGGAAUUCCGAGUGUAGGAGGUGAAAUUCGUAGAUAUUCGGAAGAACACCAGUGGCGAGGCGG
rnacentral:rRNA from 1 species